rnacentral:misc_RNA from 1 species
AACGCAUCUUGCGCCCGGUGGUAUUCCGCCGGGCAUGCCUGUCUGAGUGUCAUUACUAUCUCAACCCUAGCGAUGUUGUCAUGACGUUGCUCAGCGGAUUGGAACAUGGACAUGGCGGGGUUCGCCCUGCCGGUCUUAAAUGGAGUAGGCUAGCCGACUCUCAGCGGUUGGACCGGGUGUUGUAGAGUCGCCUCACUCGGGACGCUGAUCGGAUCAGUUGACUUGUAAUUGUAUUACUCGAGCGAUUUAGACCUCAGAUCAGGUAGGAUUACCCGCUGAACUUAA